CCUACGGGGCGCACCAGUGGGGAAUAUUGCACAAUGGGCGCAAGCCUGAUGCAGCCAUGCCGCGUGUAUGAAGAAGGCCUUCGGGUUGUAAAGAACUUUCAGCGGGGAGGAGGGUGUUGUGGUUAAUAACCGCAGCAAUUGACGUUACCCGCAGAAGAAGCACCGGCUAACUCCGUGCCAGCAGCCGCGGUAAUACGGAGGGUGCAAGCAUUAAUCGGAAUUACUGGGCGUAAAGCGCACGCAGGCGGUCUGUCAAGUCGGAUGUGAAAUCCCCGGGCUCAACCUGGGAACUGCAUUCGAAACUGGCAGGCUAGAGUCUUGUAGAGGGGGGUAGAAUUCCAGGUGUAGCGGUGAAAUGCGUAGAGAUCUGGAGGAAUACCGGUGGCGAAGGCAGCCCCCUGGACAAAGACUGACGCUCAGGUGCGAAAGCGUGGAGAGCAAACAGGAUUAGAUACCCCUGUAGUC
rnacentral:rRNA from 1 species